UAUUCUUCACGCUGGCAGGCUGUCGGGAAGAUACGUGGGGACCCUGGGAUUUUCCUUUCGCUUUCUUGUGCUCUCAGAAACCACCCCCUGGUGACUCAGAAACACGAAGGCUUUCCCUCACAUUACCGUGCCCAGGAUUACAGAGUGUCCCUUGCUGGUUACAUUUUCCACUGUGGCUUCCCAAUGAGAUUUUUGGCUAUAAUUCACAUAUCCUGCUAAAGAUGAACAAUUCUGGAUCCCAGACUGAAACCUUCUACUAUUCUAGUUGCAAAAGUUACUCGUUGUCACUCUAUCUCAAUUUAUCUUUAGAAAAUGAAAUAAUAAUACCUUUUCCAUGUGUCCCACAGGCUAUUAAGCAAAAGAAAUUGAAGACGAUAAAUAUGGGUGGCUCAGAAGUUGUGCUUCGAUCCUUUUAAUUAAAGUUCCAUACCUGAUUUGCCACUGAUGAGCUACCGGACAUUAAAUAAGUCAUUUUAUCUGAUA